rnacentral:rRNA from 1 species
UGGGGAAUAUUGGACAAUGGGCGAAAGCCUGAUCCAGCCAUGCCGCGUGAGUGAUGAAGGCCCUAGGGUUGUAAAGCUCUUUUGUGCGGGAAGAUAAUGACGGUACCGCAAGAAUAAGCCCCGGCUAACUUCGUGCCAGCAGCCGCGGUAAUACGAAGGGGGCUAGCGUUGCUCGGAAUCACUGGGCGUAAAGGGUGCGUAGGCGGGUUUCUAAGUCAGAGGUGAAAGCCUGGAGCUCAACUCCAGAACUGCCUUUGAUACUGGAAGGCGUGAGUUCGGGAGGGGUGAGUGGAACUGCGGGUGUAGAGGUGAAAUUCGUAGAUAUUCGCAAGAACACCAGUGGCGAAGGCGGCUCACUGGCCCGAUACUGACGCUGAGGCACGAAAGCGUGGGGAGCAAACA